rnacentral:misc_RNA from 1 species
UCCGAGUUGUCCCCGGCAGUCUCCUUAGAGUUCCCACCUUAAAUGUUGGCAACUAAUGAUAAGGGUUGCGCUCGUUGCGGGACUUAACCCAACACCUCACGGCACGAGCUGACGACAGCCAUGCAGCACCUGUGCAGCAGCCCCGAAGGGAGUCGCUAUUUCUAGCGAGGUCUACUGCAUGUCAAGUCUGGGUAAGGUUCUUCGCGUUGCAUCGAAUUAAACCACAUGCUCCACUGCUUGUGCGGGUCCCCGUCAAUUCUUUUGAGUUUCACCCUUGCGAGCGUACUCCCCAGGCGGUAUACUUAUCGCGUUAGCUACGGCACAACCAGGGUUGAGUCCGGUUACACCAAGUAUACAUCGUUUACAGCAAGGACUAC